rnacentral:lncRNA from 1 species
GGAUGCGAAAAAACCAAAUGGAUUGUGUAUGGAUGUAGACAGACAACCCCCCAAAUAAUUAUCGAAAACCUUGAUUGAUAGCUGAAUAACCGUGUAACAAACCUGUCACAAUUAUUUUUCAACCAUCAAAGCAUGGUAGGCUAUAGAUUAAAUAUUGCAUGAAAUUUAAUGCAAAAAAAUUCAGAGAACUAAGAUUUCCAGCAACAAAAGGUGGUUUAAUCCCCCCNNNNNNNNNNNNNNNNNNNNCCCCCACUCAAUUAUUUCGCGAAGUGUCCUCCACUGCAGAGUAAAGCAUAUGUUUAAAAAUGAUAAUCAAUAUGUCAGUUUUAAAUGAUAUUAUAGUUCCAUAAUCCAUACUCUAGCUAAUAACACUUUACAAACUGUAUAAUUCAGUGGGGUCACAUGUACACAGUUCGCAAUUGACAGGCAAUAAGAUCUAUUGCAUUUUCUUCCUUCGAAUGUUCAAUUAUUCACAUCCAUCAAUGGCAUUGUAUAGUAGUGUGUGCAGGGAACGGAACUUCCUGGCAGAGUAUCUGCGCAUCAUAAAAUUCUGCAUUUAUUCUUUAAGAUUCUGGUUUUCAAUCGCUGUCACUUCCUGACUCGCUUAAUUCCAGAUCCUCGCCUGUAGAAACGAAAGAGAAAGAUAAGUGGACAACUUAGACACACAAGGGAUGGAUCCAGCAUAAUCUGGUAGGGGGUGCUCUGCCAGCUCUGGUGCAGAGUUGUGUCGGUCACGUGUGCCGCCUGCCCAUCAUUGCCAUCAACAUACAGCAGUACAGUACUUGCUUGACUACUGUAUUUGAACUAUAAUUGUUCUUCACAGUUUGAUUAUCAUCAUGUUAUUACUUAAAUUACUGUAUCUCAUUGACGUCAACAUAUCCUUCAAUGUGGAAGAUAGCCGAAGUGGUACCGCUACACAAGGAAGGGGAUCCUGAAAUCGCUUCAAAUAAUCGACCGAUUUCACUGCUGUCAUGUUUGUCAAAAAUAUGCGACAAAGUCGCACUGAAUCAGUAUACAGAACAUCUAACAAACCACAGAUUAUUAACGGAGCAUCAAAGUGGUAACCGGAAAAAACAUUCUACCGAAACACUUAACAUUGCAGUGACAGACAUGUUGUUGGAAGCUAUGGAUAAUAAACAGUUAUCUAUAGUUAUAUUGUUAGAUAUGUCGAAAGCCUUCGAUAGUGUUGAUCACAACAUGCUUCUUCAAAGAAUUCUAAACCUAGGCGUAUCUUCUGCAGUGCAUAAGUGGUUUGAAAGUUACUUGUCUGACAGAUGGCAGUAUGUUAGAAUUGGAACUACCUCUUCGGCGCCUGUUGCAUUGUCGUACGGAAUUCCUCAAGGCUCUGUUCUAUCGCCGUUUUUAUUUAAUAUAUACACAGAUAGUUUGUUUUCAGUUCCCAA